ensembl:lncRNA
GAAAGAGAGAGCACAGCAGUGCCUUGUGCAGCUCCUGUACUUUAAGCAAAUGGAAAUAACUUUUUCCCAGCAGCAUAGCUGAUAUCAUCAGCAGAAGAACUCAGGCAGUCGGCACAAGUGGUCCGUUACCUCGGUGGCCUGUCAUUAUCUACAGGAAUGCUGUCCGUUAUCUCAACAGCACCCUAUCAAAGCGCACCAUUACACGAGCACAGCAUGAGCACGAGCAGGAGUCAUCGGUGGUGGUCUGGCCUAAAUAUUUCCUGAGCAAACAAGUACCAUUUUUCAUUCCGUCUGCAGCAGUAUGAAGCGGGCAGCCACUUUCUUGGCCUCUAUUCCUGGACCAAACCCUAAAGGCUCACUGUGGUGCCAAUCUGCCAUCAUAUGUCAUCACAACAGAAUGAACAUUUUUCCAAAGCUUGGUGGGAAACAUGGUAACUGAUGAAAUCAUUGAAGACUUUAUAAUGUUGGGAACAGUCAAAAUGUUCUCUCUCUCUCACUUUUUAAAUUUUUUUUUACUUUGUGUAUUUAUAAAUGUAUGUGUUAUACUUGUUACAAGGUUGCAAAUAGUAUUUGCAAGUAGUAGCAAACUGAAAUAUAGAUUUGGAGUUGCAUAGUGGACUUAUUUAGCUACGUGACGCAAAGUGUAAGGGAAUAAAACAUUCAUUUAAAAAAAAAUAAUAAUAAUAAUAGAAAAAACGUGACGUGAACUGCACAAAGCGUAAUGUACCCAUGACGUCAGCCGGCUGCUGGAAUAAACACGAUGAUCAGAAAGCGCGGUAACAGUAAGUUAAUUAUGAGACUUUAGCGACCCCUGGUGGAGACACGACGAAUGCGUUGUUUUGUCCUAAUAAAUAAUAAAUAUUAUAUAUAUAAGUUUGACAUGAAAGCCGUUGGUUUUUCAUUAGCUGGAUGAUAAUGUCUAGCAAAAAAAAGAAAAAGAAAAAAAAAGAAAACAAAAUGUAUGUGUAUAUGCAUAUACAAUAUUGACAAUAUUAUAACUUACUACACAAUAGAAAUGUGAUUCGCCAGAUUAACAAGUGUUUUUAUUUUUAUUUUAUUUUUUAUGUAAUGUACAU